rnacentral:rRNA from 1 species
GAUGAACGCUGGCGGCGUGCCUAAUACAUGCAAGUCGAGCGAACAGACGAGGAGCUUGCUCCUCUGACGUUAGCGGCGGACGGGUGAGUAACACGUGGAUAACCUACCUAUAAGACUGGGAUAACUUCGGGAAACCGGAGCUAAUACCGGAUAAUAUAUUGAACCGCAUGGUUCAAUAGUGAAAGACGGUUUUGCUGUCACUUAUAGAUGGAUCCGCGCCGCAUUAGCUAGUUGGUAAGGUAACGGCUUACCAAGGCAACGAUGCGUAGCCGACCUGAGAGGGUAAUCGGCCACACUGGAACUGAGACACGGUCCAGACUCCUACGGGAGGUAGCAGUAGGGAAUCUUCCGCAAAGGGCGAAAGCCUGACGGAGCAACGCCGCGUGAGUGAUGAAGGUCUUCGGAUCGUAAAACUCUGUUAUUAGGGAAGAACAAAUGUGUAAGUAACUAUGCACGUCUUGACGGUACCUAAUCAGAAAGCCACGGCUAACUACGUG